rnacentral:rRNA from 1 species
UGGAUGAUGUGGAUUAAUUCGAUGCAACGCGAAAACCUUACCUACCCUUGACAUGUCCGGAAUCCCGAAGAGAUUUGGGAGUGCUCGCAAGAGAACCGGAACACAGGUGCUGCAUGGCUGUCGUCAGCUCGUGUCGUGAGAUGUUGGGUUAAGUCCCGCAACGAGCGCAACCCUUGUCAUUAGUUGCCAUCAUUUGGUUGGGCACUCUAAUGAGACUGCCGGUGACAAACCGGAGGAAGGUGGGGAUGACGUCAAGUCCUCAUGGCCCUUAUGGGUAGGGCUUUACACGUCAUACAAUGGUCGGUACAGAGGGUUGCCAACCCGCGAGGGGGAGCUAAUCCCACAAAGCCGAUCGUAGUCCGGAUCGCAGUCUGCAACUCGACUGCGUGAAGUCGGAAUCGCUAGUAAUCGCGGAUCAGCAUGUCGCGGUGAAUACGUUCCCGGGUCUU